rnacentral:rRNA from 1 species
GAUGAACGCUGGCGGCGUGCCUAAUACAUGCAAGUCGAGCAAAUGGAUUAAGAGCUUGCUCUUAUGAAGUUAGCGGCGGACGGGUGAGUAACGCGUGGGUAACCUGCCCAUAAGACUGGGAUAACUCCGGGAAACCGGGGCUAAUACCGGAUAACAUUUUGAACAGCAUGGUUCGAAAUUGAAAGGCGGCUUCGGCUGUCACAUAUGGAUGGACCCGCGUCGCAUUAGCUAGUUGGUGAGGUAACGGCUCAACAAGGCAACGAUGCGUAGCCGACCUGAGAGGGUGAUCGGCCACACUGGGACUGAGACACGGCCCAGACUCCUACGGGAGGCAGCAGUAGGGAAUCUUCCGCAAUGGACGAAAGUCUGACGGAGCAACGCCGCGUGAGUGAUGAAGGCUUUCGGGUCGUAAAACUCUGUUGUUAGGGAAGAACAAGUGCUAGUUGAAUAAGCUGGCACCUUGACGGUACCUAACCAGAAAGCCACGGCUAACUACGUGCCAGCCGCCGCAGUAA